AUUGAACGCUGGCGGCAGGCCUAACACAUGCAAGUCGAACGAGUGGCGGACGGGUGAGUAAUGUCUGGGAAACUGCCUGAUGGAGGGGGAUAACUACUGGAAACGGUAGCUAAUACCGCAUACCAUCGGAUGUGCCCAGAUGGGAUUAGCUAGUAGGUGGGGUAAAGGCUAACCUAGGCCACGAUCCCUAGCUGGUCUGAGAGGAUGACCAGCCACACUGUAACUGAGACACGGUCCAGACUCAGACGGGAGGAAGCAGUGGGGAAUAUUGCACAAUGGGCGCAAGCCUGAUGCAGCCAUGCCGCGUGUAUGAAGAAGGCCUUCGGGUUGUAAAGUACUUUCAGCGAGGAGGCGUUACCCGCAGAAGAAGCACCGGCUAACUCCGUGCCAGCAGCCGCGGUAAUUC
rnacentral:rRNA from 1 species